AUUGAACGCUAGCGGGAUGCCUUACACAUGCAAGUCGAACGGAGUGGCGAACGGGUGAGUAAUGUAUCGGAACGUGCCCAGUAGCGGGGGAUAACUACGCGAAAGCGUAGCUAAUACCGCAUACUAUUGGAGCGGCCGAUAUCGGAUUCGCUAGUUGGGGGGGUAACGGCUCACCAGGGCCACGAUCCGAAGCUGGUUUGAGAGGAAGACCAGCCACACUGGGACUGAGACACGGCCAAGACGCCUACGGGAGGCGGGGGGGGGGAAUUUUGGACAAUGGGGGAAACCCUGAUCCAGCCAGCCCGCGUGGGGGAUGAGGGCCUUCGGGUUGUAAAGCACUUUUGGCAGGAAAGCGGUACCUGCAGAAUAAGCACCGGCUAACUACGUGCCAGCAGCCGCGGUAAUUC
rnacentral:rRNA from 1 species